CUGACCUGCCCGUGACCUUGCAGAGAGACGUCUUCAGCCAGCUGCUGAUCCACGCGGCCCUGCAGUGCACCUCGGGCCCCCACAGGAACGUGGCCCGAAGCCUUCUGAUGGAGCGAGACGCCUUGAAGCCCAACUCGCCCCUGACGGAGCGGCUCAUGCGCAAGGCAGCCGCUGUCCACCUCCUGCAGUGAGCCGGCCGGGCCCAGCUGCAGAGCCGCCGCUGGCAGGAGCCACACCGACAGGCCCGAGGGGUGGUCUGCAGCUUUAAACAGAGCCCUGUGACCAGCGGCGUCACAGGAAGAGGGGAUGUGACUGUAUGUAAAGAUGAUUCAGAAUCUCCUUCUAAUCCUUGUUAAAGGCCAAGGCGCGUGCUGUGUGUCCACUGGCCUUGCAAAUUGUAUUUUCCCAGGGACCUUGCGCCUCCUGUUGUUCAAGGGUUGGAAGCUGGGGUGGGAUGGGAGUGUGGGGGGGGGGAGUCUUCACAGCCCAGGGGCACCCCACCCCAGGCUGCCCUUGGGGUAACCCUCAUUGUCUUCGCAUCCUCUCCCAGGCAGGUUGGGAGUGAGGGAACCAGAGGGGGCAGUGACUUGCCCAGGCCACAGCCAGUGGAGGCCCUGGCCCUCCUGGGGGCGGGACCUCAUCUCAGCCUCCCCUCCUCACGGGAGCACAGCCCGUGGGUGCCCUCCUGCCGCCCGGCCACGUCCCGGGGGCAUUUGGUGACACUGAUGUGGGCUUGUCUCUCUUUAUUCUGAACUGCACGUGGCGAAGGGGCCCACACAUGGUUUCUAACGUGGACUGUGACUUCGGCCAGAGGAACGGAGCAGCGGAGCUGCCUGCUUUCUGGGGCGUGAGGGUUGAGCUCGGGCUGCCCUCUUGUGGC